UCCACCGGCCAUGCCCUGCUGUUCGGAGUGGUCAGCGACUUUGUGGACUACACGCUGAGGUCGCUCAAAGACAUCAAGCCAGCAGACCCAGAUGCCAAGCUGGUCAUGUCUCGUGAAGCACGCCAGCGGGUCGCGGCCCGCGGCCAGUUCCUGGUCGUGACUUCGGACUUCGGGCGGCGGUACAAAUGCAUCAUGCAGUACCGGUGAGCACGGCCAGCACUGGGCAGCCGGCCACACACGGGGUUCGCUAAUAGCCGAGAAAGCAAAUACGACCAGGGGCUUGCCUGGAAAAAACACCUUCGUCUGUCAGAGAGUUUGCUACUCUACCUAUGUAAUGUACUUCUUCUAGUUACACGGUUGCUCGCCACACUGCCCCCCUCCACCCAUGCAGCAAGAGCUACCGCAUGGAGGACUGGCUGCACUUCGUUGAGACGUUCUCCAGCUACAUCUUCAAGGGGGACGUGCUGCCCGAGGCCUUGCGGGCCCUGUGUUGGAGCCUGUGCAGCACGGUCACGCACUACUUCUGGCCGCGGCCCCGCGACGAGACCCGUGAGCAGUUCCUGGUGGCAGCCAAGGCGGCAGCAUGCAAGCUCAGAGCUUACACGACCAGGCUGGAGGAGUUGGAGGUGCCGGGCUACAUGUUCACGGUCAACCUGCAUAUCUGCGUAUGCCGGCUGUACGACCAGGAGUGCCAGCUUGGGUCCGCGGCAGGGUUCUCCGACCUGCCGGUGGAACGCAUGAUGCAGCAAAUGAAGACGCAAGGCGGAAGGAUGGUGUCACAGGCACCCGAGAAGCACUACGCGCAGUGGCUGUGCCUGAUGCGGGCCUCCGAGUCGCUCACCGAGGCAGACCCCGGGACCGGGGCCAAACACACGACCAACCAGCAGCUUGAGAGGAUGUUGGCACGGUGCGCAGUGACACNNNNNNNNNNNNNNNNNNNNNNNNNNNNNNNNNNNNNNNNNNNNNNNNNNNNNNNNNNNNNNNNNNNNNNNNNNNNNNANNCCUUGGGACUCCACACAAGAUCACGCAGAAGCAGUUCGAUGAGGCGGCGCUCCAGACUGGGUGCAAGGGCCUGACUGCCUUUGCGGCCCUGCCGUACGUCGACCUGUCGUGCCUCUUCACCGUCUCCACCGGCCAUGCCCUGCUGUUCGGAGUGGUCAGCGACUUUGUGGACUACACGCUGAGGUCGCUCAAAGACAUCAAGCCAGCAGACCCAGAUGCCAAGCUGGUCAUGUCUCGUGAAGCACGCCAGCGGGUCGCGGCCCGCGGCCAGUUCCUGGUCGUGACUUCGGACUUCGGGCGGCGGUACAAAUGCAUCAUGCAGUACCGGUGAGCACGGCCAGCACUGGGCAGCCGGCCACACACGGGGUUCGCUAAUAGCCGAGAAAGCAAAUACGACCAGGGGCUUGCCUGGAAAAAACACCUUCGUCUGUCAGAGAGUUUGCUACUCUACCUAUGUAAUGUACUUCUUCUAGUUACACGGUUGCUCGCCACACUGCCCCCCUCCACCCAUGCAGCAAGAGCUACCGCAUGGAGGACUGGCUGCACUUCGUUGAGACGUUCUCCAGCUACAUCUUCAAGGGGGACGUGCUGCCCGAGGCCUUGCGGGCCCUGUGUUGGAGCCUGUGCAGCACGGUCACGCACUACUUCUGGCCGCGGCCCCGCGACGAGACCCGUGAGCAGUUCCUGGUGGCAGCCAAGGCGGCAGCAUGCAAGCUCAGAGCUUACACGACCAGGCUGGAGGAGUUGGAGGUGCCGGGCUACAUGUUCACGGUCAACCUGCAUAUCUGCGUAUGCCGGCUGUACGACCAGGAGUGCCAGCUUGGGUCCGCGGCAGGGUUCUCCGACCUGCCGGUGGAACGCAUGAUGCAGCAAAUGAAGACGCAAGGCGGAAGGAUGGUGUCACAGGCACCCGAGAAGCACUACGCGCAGUGGCUGUGCCUGAUGCGGGCCUCCGAGUCGCUCACCGAGGCAGACCCCGGGACCGGGGCCAAACACACGACCAACCAGCAGCUUGAGAGGAUGUUGGCACGGUGCGCAGUGAACACCGAGGCUGCCUGGUUUGAUAAACCAGGAGCCAACGGUUACCUGCUUGGACGAGGCCACAUGGUCUACCCGAGUCCAGAACGAGUGGCACAAGUCCGGGCAGCCAUGGCGAGCCUAGUGCACUGGUAUGCCCUGGCAUUCAAGGAUGUGGCUUCCUGGACAUUGGGUCCCAGUGCGAGCUACGAACUGGACACGGACCGCCUGGAUAGGGUUCUCAUGUCUACACCACCUGACUGUCCCAAGGCCCGCUCCUUAUUGCGUGCCGAGGCACUCGAUGAGGAGCAGUACUUCGGGGCUGAGUAUGGGCGCCAGCAGCAGCGGAUCUCCUGCUGGGCAUGCUACCAGGCAGAAGUCGGCAACGAGACUCGGACAUAUGCGGCCUACCUCAAGCACUUCGUCCACCUGCCCGCAGAAGAUGGCGCUCAGGAUGUCCGAUUCACUGUCGCAGAUGUGUACUCGGGACAGGUGUUCAGCAAGGGGCUGGUGGUGGUCAACAUGGCGGCCGCCCAGACAGCGAGGGCAGGCAGCCAGUGGGAGAUGUGGCAGGACCUAGGGCUGCCGCUAAGUGAGCUGAAGGGCAAGUUCUGCACAGCCGCCCUGGAGGGGGACCGAAAGGGGCUGAUGUACUUCAUGCCAUACACACACUUCACCAACCGCUGAGCAACCGCAGCAAUGAGGCCGAUGGAUGCACCCUUGUCUGGUUGACAACGAAUGACUACGAAAGUUAUCCCAUGCACAUGUGCAACAGAUGGCACGCAUGUACAUACAUAUGCAGGCGUAUAUGCGUAAAGGCACACUGGCAGUCCAUAUGCCCGUAUGGAGUUUCGGUUCAGUACUCAAAUGGCUUCACAUUCUGCAUUGUUGGAAAGAGUGCCGUCAGUGUAAGGUGCGAGGCAGACACCGCCACAGCAGUAUCGGCGGGACUAGUACGACUGGUUGCUGACUGUCCAGUUCACUUGAUGUGUGCUUGCUGGUCACAAAGUGGACGGCACCCACGUUUCAAAGGAGUGGCCCAGAUGCGCCAUCCCCUAUAACAAACACGGUUGUUCCAAAAGGGUUACAAUUGUGACCGAAUUAACACACGUGUCAGCCAUCAUUGUCGCCCAUGCCUUCGCUUCCAUGUGUUUCUUUUCCACCCAUGCCACCAGCUUCUCUACUGACAGCACAUUCCCCUCCGAGCAUGCAGUCGUCGAGCGGAUACAGUGUAUCCUUCUGCAACCAUCCUUGAGACUUGUGCCGGUAUGAGCCGGCUGCCUUGUAACCCUUUUGGAACCACCCAGACCACACAAAGGGUUUAAGACAAUAAGCCUCCCAUUGGGUAUUCACCCUAAUCAGCCCUGGCAGCCGGUACUCUGAAUUAAUGCGACACACACGUGAACCCGCCCCCUCCAUCUUCAAUCCCCAUCAUCACAAGGCCACCUGAUUUGCCGCCUUAAGGCAAGCUUGUGUAUGGCCCUCUACAAGACGG
rnacentral:lncRNA from 1 species